GUUGUAUUAGAAAGUCUUCGUAACAUCAGGUUUUGUUGUCCCGUUUCCUCACCAUGACGCUCUAAGUAGCGUAGCAACAUUACAAUCUUCUCUCUUUCUUUCUCUCUCAUAAAUCAGACCGAAGGGAGGAGCACUUUCACUUCCUUUAUAGAAUGGAAUGUGGUGUCACAGGGACUCCUUUUGGAUCUUGAAUACAGACCGUCAUGAAGAGCGUGCCUACUGAACCAGGCGGCCCAGGUUCUGUCCCUGCUCCCCCACAGAUAAUUUAGGAACUGUUCAGCCACAGGCAUGUGCUCAGCUUCCUCGGCCUUCUCCGUACAGUUGGGAUGUGGUGGCGC
rnacentral:lncRNA from 1 species